UGAUAAACAUUAAUUUAGGUGACAAUUUUCCUAAAUGUACUUUUAUUCCCUGCUACAGACGCCCCCCCCGCCCCAUCUCACAACGGUUCACCUUAACGAUUUUGAACUUCACAGUGGUGCAAAAUCAAUACAUUUCACUGCACAUCGUACUUGGACUUUUGCGUUUGGAUCUUGUCCAGGCUAGAGACGUGUGGUUUGACUCUCACUUGGAACGCGUGUCCACGGCAGGUCCGUGGCAGCCGCCUGGUCACGGGGGUUAAGGGCCAACACAUGUUGGUCGGGAGGUAACCCCCUGGUCCCUCAGAGAAGAUGUACAAGUCGGUUUCCCAAGGCAGCCGUGACACUUGCUGCAGACUGGGCUUAGAUGGUAGGACAGUGUUCCAGGUGCUGGAGGCCAGGAGUCCAAGGCCCGGGGGUCGGCAGGGACAAACGUGUUGGCCUUGCUGGGACCCACCGCAGGGUGCCAGGGGAAAUGGGAGCUCGAGGGUUGUGCUAUAGUCCCUCUAAAACAGACAAGUGGGGCAGCCUGGGUGGCUCAGCGAUUUAGCGCCGCCUUCAGCCCAGGGCGUGAUCCUGGAGACCCGGGAUCGAGUCCCACGUCGGGCUCCCUGCAUGGAGCCUGCUUCUCCCUCUGCCUGUGUCUGUCUCUCUCUGUGUGUUUCUCUCAUGAAUAAAUAAAUAAAAUCUUUGGGAAAAAAAAAAACAGACAAGUGAAGUCAAGCACACAUACUCUUAGACCUUCUUUCCAGGGAGCAUGGGAAGGGCAGACGGGAAGGUCACGGCCACCUUGCUGUUCCUGCACCUACCCCACUUGCAAGCCCAGCCCGAGUCCAGGCCCCACAGAGGGGCCCGUGGAGGUGGAGGUGCUGGGCGUCUGCGCUGGGGAAGCAUCUCCUGACGGCUGGGGUGCAGCUCCUCGAUGCCUGAGGGGUGAGAUCUCUGCGGAGAAGCUUCGAAGCAGCUUCCCAGUGCUUUUCAAGUGAAAAACGAGCAGAAAGGCCAACCUUUUUGUGUCCUUGGUAUCUGGUUACAGACCAGGGGUGGGUAAAGGCCAAGAGAAACCCAGUCUUAGAAGAGGACCGUUCUGGACAUGCGCCCUGGGCAUCAGCAACUGACAUUCCCCUGGACCUUCAACAAAGGGGAUCGGGUUCCCACCGUCUCCCCAGCCCCGGACGCGGGCACACAGAGUGUGCAUUCAUCCCGGCAGCCCUGUGGGGCGCACAGCUCAGGAUGGGUGGGCUUGGCUCUGGGCUGACAUCAACGUCCGCCUGGAAACGCAGGCAUACCUGCCUCGAGGUGCACGUAGACCUUUUAUCCAAGACCCAGACCUGCAAAUUGGGGAACAGAAAGCUGGCAUCGAAUCACCCAAGUUUGCGUUAAUGGGUGGAUCUGCCAGAGAUGGGCCUCAGGAGGGUCAGAGCUGAGCUCCUGAGGACACAACGGUCUCCUUGCCUCUCCCAGGGGACUCCGCACGUUU
rnacentral:lncRNA from 12 species